GAGGAAGAAAAGAGAAUAAGAAAAAAAUAUAGAAAAAUGAAGAAUCAAUAACAGCAAGAGGAAAAAUAAAGAAGAACGGGCUGGAGAAAGAAGAGGAGCAAGAUGACGAUGAGGAUGAUGACAAUGAGGAGGAGGAUGCAAAGUAUAUCUGUACCCUGAGAAGCCUGCCCUUGAAUGUUGUCAAAACACGCCCUACCAACCAUACAUUAUUCAUGGGUGUAUAUGGUACCUGUGAUCACCUGGCGCCUAGUAACAAAGGAACCACCCCAACAACGUGCCUCGCCCCCUAAUCACCCCUAUACAUCACCUGCCCCGCCUCCUUCAGUAUCGUCACGUGCGUAGUGCCUUUAAGUCCCCUCCCUCCCACAAGUCUUAUCUCCCCUCUCCCUAUAUCAGCUCUCAAAGUGGUAUGGCGAAUAUUUGUGUUCUCCAUGGCGAGGGAAGGUGGUGUUGGUGGUGAAUGUGUGUGUGGGGGGAGGCGGGGGAGGUACAGCAAAGGAAGCAGCUCAAGGGCAAAAAGCAAGAAAACAAAAGACAAAAAGCCCGCCAGUCGCCGCUCCCAUAAAGAAUAGGAAGAAGUAUAGCCAGAGACAGAGGAGGCACACGGCGGCCAGCAGCAGCAGCAGCGGCAGGAAGGUCUUCAUCUUGAGGGCAGGGAAGGAGAGUUUGUGUCGCUUCGAGGACUGAGGACGUCUGAUGCCCAGGGUCGCCGAGUGCUACGUAUAUAUACCCCUAGCAGCUGAGAAAGAACUUGCUGGCCGGCAGGUUUCUUGAUCAUGUCCCACAGCGUAACGCAGCGCCCGGGGGCAUAUUUCAGGAUGUGUUGAUUCGCUAACCUUCAAACGCCUUCCUGGGUGUUGUCCCGAUGGCCGCCACUCACGAGGAAGCCGGACGUUCUUCCAAUUAUUACAACGGAGGAGUUGAAUAAUAGGAAGACGAAACAGAGGUGUCACGAACAUCGAUGUACAACGUAUAGGUUGAAGGACGACCAACCAGUAUGCCAAAGUAGGAAAGUCAGAAAGUAUGGGAAUUUACCGAUGGGAUUGCGUAAUGCUGCGGAGAUGAGCACCGAGGCCACGCGUACCCAUAGCGCAUGCUCCUACUUGUCCUUAAUAGUAAUAAUAAUAAUAAUAAUAAUAAUAAUAAUAAUAAUAAUAAUAAUAAUAAUAAUAAUAAUAAUAAUAAUAAUAAUAAUAAUAAUAAUGAUAAUAAUAAUACCUAUUUUCUGCAUUUUCUCUCCCUCUUUCCUUCCUUCCUUUUUUUAUAUUUUCCGCUUCUUCAUCUACCUUGUCGUUUCCUCUUUUCCUUCCUUCCUUCCUUCCUUCCUUCCAUUCUCUUGUUUUCCUCUCCCUCUUACUUGUCGUUUCCUCUCUUCCUUCCCCUCUUUCCUCUUUCACUCCUCUUUCCGUCGUUGUUUUCUGUUUAUCUUGCUCUUCCUUAUUUCAUUCUCUUUCCUGCGUCUCCUCUUUCUCUUCCUAAUACUUUUCCUUUUAUCUCUUUUUCUUCGCCUUCUCUGGAUUAUGUGAGAAGGGGGUGGUGGAGGAUGUAGAGUGGAGUGGAGGGGGAGGGGAUGGAGGUGGAGGUGGAGAAGGGGAGAGGAAGGAGGCCUGGCUGUGAGGGAAGGUGAACCGGUCUUCUGAUAUAUUUUUGUUUCUAUACUCUAGGAAAUGUUUUGAAGGACAGUGCGCAUGGGGAAGUAUCACAUGCUCUCCCGCCGAGCUUGCAACUAGAAAAAUGCAGUCAGUGGGCGUUUGUUUUACUAUGAAGUCCUGUGUAGUCUUAUAAAAGUUCCUACUUACUAUAAAAAAAGUUAUGUCCUUCAUGGUUCUCUUCUUGGACCACUGAUGUUCAUAAUAAUCACACCAAUGAAGUCGAUUUUGUAUUCAUCAAUAUCAUUACUAGAUUUGCUGAGGACACGAAGCUUAAAGGGCAAAAUCUUCAUAAAGACUUGUAAGGUUUUUGUAGAAUUUCAACUUGGUCUGACAAAUGGGAGAUACCGUUUGACAUAAAUAAAUGUCAAAUGCAGAUUCUUCAAGUUGGAGCAAAUGAUACAAGGUUGAGUAUGCAGUGUGCGAUGUAGGCUACAGACUAACUCAAAUGCCAACCUUAAUAUAUUCCAAUAGUGUAGUGAUUUAUUAUAGAAUUCCACCGAGCUUGGUGACUCAUACCAUAUAGUUUUGUUAUAAGGUCGUGAGAAGAUGGCAAAAAAUAUAUUAGACACCUGAGCAUGGUUAGGGGAGGGGGUGGUAAUAACGACCACUUUGUUUUAUUUCAGGCAAAAAAACACCGAUCUGAAAGGGAAAAAUUGCAUCAACAACCGUCAUAUGUAUUGGCAAAUUUUUUCCUCUUAACACAUUCAGAGUUAUAGUGAGAAAAACUCAAUCAUUCAAAUGCUACAGCUUUUUAUUCAAGAAGAUCCAAAAAGGUGGGUCACAGAAAGUGGGGUGCUAAUAUGGAACACGCGGGGUGCUAAGAUGAAACAAUUAGAAAAUAACAAAAUAAUAUAUUCCUUUUUGUGAAUGCGUAAAUAAAACUUUUACAGUGAAAAGGGAAGUUUAAAAACAGAAGUCACGAAUACAAGUCUACAAGACAAUGAAGGUAUGAGCCUCUAGCGGAUGCUAC